UACGAAGGGGGCUAGCGUUGCUCGGAAUCACUGGGCGUAAAGGGCGCGUAGGCGGCCGUUUAAGUCGGGGGUGAAAGCCUGUGGCUCAACCACAGAAUUGCCUUCGAUACUGGACGGCUUGAGUUCGGAAGAGGUUGGUGGAACUGCGAGUGUAGAGGUGAAAUUCGUAGAUAUUCGCAAGAACACCGGUGGCGAAGGCGGCCAACUGGACCAUUACUGACGCUGAGGCGCGAAAGCGUGGGGAGCAAACAGG
rnacentral:rRNA from 1 species